rnacentral:rRNA from 1 species
AGUGAACGCUGGCGGUAGGCCUAACACAUGCAAGUCGAACGGCAGCACAGUAAGAGCUUGCUCUUACGGGUGGCGAGUGGCGGACGGGUGAGGAAUACAUCGGAAUCUACUUUUUCGUGGGGGAUAACGUAGGGAAACUUACGCUAAUACCGCAUACGACCUACGGGUGAAAGCAGGGGAUCUUCGGACCUUGCGCGAUUGAAUGAGCCGAUGUCGGAUUAGCUAGUUGGCGGGGUAAAGGCCCACCAAGGCGGCGAUCCGUAGCUGGUCUGAGAGGAUGAGCAGCCACACUGGAACUGAGACACGGUCCAGACUCCUACGGGAGGCAGCAGUGGGGAAUAGUGGACAAUGGGCGCAAGCCUGAUCCAGCCAUACCGCGUGGGUGAAGAAGGCCUUCGGGUUGUAAAGCCCUUUUGUUGGGAAAGAAAAGCAGCAGGUUAAUACCCCGCUGUUCUGACGGUACCCAAAGAAUAAGCACCGGCUAACUUCGUG